AUGGAGAUUGGACCGGGUGAGCUUUGCACAGUCAUGAAGACCCGUGGGAUGGAUGAGCUGGAGGGGAGACUUCAACAUGCCAUGGUGGUGUACGUGAGUGGUGACAGGGAGGAGAUUUCGCCGGUGUGGGUGCUGGACGCGUUGCAGUCCAGGAUGGGCAUCCCGUCGGACAGGGUAUCGGUUCAUCGGUUCAGGCUGAAGGACUUCCUCAUGGUCUUUGCAAGGAGGGAAGACAGGAACAGGAUGGGGCUCCGGCCGGUGCUUGAGUUCCAGGGGCAUCGGCUGUCUUUCAGGCAGUGGAUCAGACAGUCGCAAGCAGUAUUUGCCGCCAUGAAAUUCAAGGUGGGUUUGGAGCUGGAGGGCAUCCCACCCCACGCUUGGGAGUUGGAUGUGGUGGAAAGCCUGCUGGGCAGGUCAUCCAUCAUCGAGGCGUUGGCGCCAGAGACCUCGUCGUGGGCGGACAUGUCGUCGUUCAAGCUCACGGCAUGGACGGCGGAGCCGGAACAGAUUCCAUCUCGCCGGUGGCUUCCUGUGCCGAAGCCGGCGGAGUAG
rnacentral:rRNA from 1 species